GGGACGGCCGGGUGGUUGGGGUGACUCCUGGCCUGACCUUCUCCUCGCCCCGCCCCCACACUCAAGGGGAGGAGUCAAAGCUCGGGGUCUUGGGAGAAGCUCCGGGAUCUCGGUCUACGGCAACUUCAUUUUGCAGGAAAAUGGCUAAACAAAUUCUGAUAUAUCUGUACAAUGGAAUAAUACUCAGCAAUCAAAAGGUAUGAGCUAUAGAUACAACAUGGAUGAAUCUUGAAAAUAUGAUCUUGAGCAAAAGAAGCCAGACAGAAAGGACUACAUUCUGCAUACCUCACUCACAUGAAGUUCAACAGACAGAAAUAGAGAGGAGUGGGGAGAGGCAAAG